GAGGAACCCGGUGGAAGCCCGGGGCGGUCCCGCCACUGUGACCGGAGACGGCCGUCUCCGGGAGCCAGGAACUC
rnacentral:ncRNA from 1 species